AUACGGAGGAUGCGAGCGUUAUCCGGAUUUAUUGGGUUUAAAGGGAGCGUAGGCGGGAGCUUAAGUCAGCGGUUAAAUGGUGCGGCUCAACCGUGCCCUGCCGUUGAAACUGGGUUUCUUGAGAGUUCAAGAGGCGGGUGGGAUUCAGUGUGUAGGGGUGAAAUGCUUAGAUAUCAUGAAGAACUCCGAUUGCGAAGGCAGUCCGCUGGGGCACGUCUGACGCUGAUGCUCGAAGGUGCGGGAAUCAAACAGGAUUAGAUACCCUGGUAGUCCGCACGGUAAACGAUGAUUACCCGCUGUCGGCGGCAGACAGUCGGCGGCCAAGCGAAAGCGAUAAGUAAUCCACCUGGGGAGUACGCCGGCAACGGUGAAACUUAAAGGAAUUGGCGGGG
rnacentral:rRNA from 1 species